GUUUGAUCCUGGCUCAGGACGAACGCUGGCGGCGUGCUUAACACAUGCAAGUCGAACGGUAAGGCCCUUCGGGGUACACGAGUGGCGAACGGGUGAGUAACACGUGGGUAAUCUGCCCUGCACAUCGGGAUAAGCCUGGGAAACUGGGUCUAAUACCGAAUAGGACCACAGAACACAUGUCCUGUGGUGGAAAGCUUUUGCGGUGUGGGAUGGGCCCGCGGCCUAUCAGCUUGUUGGUGGGGUGAUGGCCCACCAAGGCGACGACGGGUAGCCGGCCUGAGAGGGUGUCCGGCCACACUGGGACUGAGAUACGGCCCAGACUCCUACGGGAGGCAGCAGAAGGG
rnacentral:rRNA from 1 species